CAGUGGUGGGUUCCAGGAGAGCAGUGGUGGGUUCCAGGGGAGCAGUGGGAGGUUACCAGGGCAGCAGUGGGAGGUUACCAGCUCGUGGCUGAUGCUGCAGGUCCUGCUCCAGGCACAGCCACGGGAGCUGAGGCAAAGGGAAGACACGAAUGCUGUAAUUGGAAGAAUAAGCAAAACAGGAGAUUACCUGGUGUGCUCUCCCUGGAGGGAAAAUGCUGUUAAAAUGGAAAUGAGCAGCAGGCUGGCAGCACCUGCUCCUGCCCAGGCACAGCAGAGGAGGCUGACACAGAAUGAAGAGAUGCCAGAAAACACAGGAGGAGAUGAAAAGCUGCACUGGCUGGCUGAGGAGACUGGGAAGGAGAAGCAAGGAAAACUGAGAACGGCAAAAGGGAAUCAUGAAUGAUGCCU